UUCGGUCAAGUUGAACGGAUGACUUAGUGGCGGACGGGUGAGUAACGCGUGAGGAACCUGCCUUUCAGUGGGGGACAACAGUUGGAAACGACUGCUAAUACCGCAUAAGCGCACAGCUUCGCAUGAUACAGUGUGAAAAACUCCGGUGGUAUAAGAUGGACCCGCGUCUGAUUAGCUAGUUGGUGUGGUAACGGCAUACCAAGGCGACGAUCAGUAGCCGGCCUGAGAGGGUGAACGGCCACAUUGGGACUGAGAUACGGCCCAGACUCC
rnacentral:rRNA from 1 species